UAUUUUAAUAGCUUAUAAAGAGUGUGAUAUUGAAGAUAUCAAGGAGGUAAAUUUACUUUAAAAUAU
rnacentral:tRNA from 1 species